rnacentral:hammerhead_ribozyme from 1 species
AUCCAGAUAAAGAAUCCUAAAAUAGGACGAAAUGCGCAUCCUGAAU